GCCGAGAUGGCGGAAUCGGUAGACGCAGCGGAUUCAAAAUCCGCCGUAGAAAUACGUGAGGGUUCGAGUCCCUCUCUCGGCACCA
rnacentral:tRNA from 1 species